rnacentral:piRNA from 1 species
UGUGUUCUGGUCCUCAGUGUUUUCAUC